GGAUGUGAGGGCGAUCUGGCUGUGACAUCUGUCACCCCAUUGAUGGGCAAAGUAUAUCCCGCUGAUAUAUAACGGAUAUAUAUAUAUAUUCCUCCCUCACUGCUCCAUGCAUGUCUCUCCCGAAGCUGUACACUCAGUCAAAAAGGACGACCUUCCCCAAUAGAGAAAGAAGGACAGGUCUUUGGUCAAGGGUAUAGGAGUAGCUGCGCUCCCCAGCUAGAACCUCCAAACAAGAUCAAGGUCCAGGGUUCAAACCCAAGCAAAAAUGGCUCCCAUAGGCCCACUAGUAGUAGUGCUACUAGGAGGUGUGG
rnacentral:snRNA from 1 species